CGGACAGGAUUUUCGCUGUACCGCGGACAGAGUCUUCCCUAUACAUUCAAGGCGUCGCAAUCAAUACAAUGUACGAAGUUCCAAUCAGGAACACAUUUCAAUCAAAGAUUGCAUAAGCAAGCAUAAAAAACAUAAUCUACUUGUUAUUACAAGCAUACAUCACAAAUAUUACACUUUACUUCAUAUUUUACAAUCUUUCAUUCUUUUAGCUUCCAAAAUACAAUGCAACUUUAACAAUAUUAUUACAACUUGAUUAUUUUCCUUUUCUUACAUCCCU
rnacentral:lncRNA from 1 species